UACGAAGGGGGCUAGCGUUGCUCGGAAUCACUGGGCGUAAAGCGCACGUAGACGGCUUCUUAAGUCAGGGGUGAAAUCCUGGAGCUCAACUCCAGAACUGCCUUUGAUACUGGGAGGCUCGAGUCCGGGAGAGGUGAGUGGAACUGCGAGUGUAGAGGUGAAAUUCGUAGAUAUUCGCAAGAACACCAGUGGCGAAGGCGGCUCACUGGCCCGGUACUGACGCUGAGGUGCGAAAGCGUGGGGAGCGAACAGG
rnacentral:rRNA from 1 species